GACGAACGCUGGCGGCGUGCCUAAUACAUGCAAGUUGAGCGCUGAAGGUUGGUACUUGUACCAACUGGAUGAGCAGCGAACGGGUGAGUAACGCGUGGGGAAUCUGCCUUUGAGCGGGGGACAACAUUUGGAAACGAAUGCUAAUACCGCAUAAAAACUUUAAACACAAGUUUUAAGUUUGAAAGAUGCAAUUGCAUCACUCAAAGAUGAUCCCGCGUUGUAUUAGCUAGUUGGUGAGGUAAAGGCUCACCAAGGCGAUGAUACAUAGCCGACCUGAGAGGGUGAUCGGCCAAAUUGGGACUGAGACACGGCCCAAACCCCUACGGGAGGCAGAGGUAGGGAAUCUUCGGCAAUGGACCGAAGUCUGACCGGGAAACGCCGGGGGAGUGAAGAAGGUUUUCGGAUCGUAAAACUUUGUUGGUAAAGAAAAACGUUGGGGAGAGUGAAAAGCUCAUCAAGUGGCGGGAACUACCCAAAAAGGGGCGGCUGGCUGCGU
rnacentral:rRNA from 1 species